UACAGAGACUGCAAGCGUUAUUCGGAUUCACUGGGCGUAAAGGGUGCGCAGGCGGCCAAGUGUGUGAGGUGUGAAAGCCCGGGGCUUAACCUCGGAAUUGCACCUCAAACUACAUGGCUAGAGCAUUGGAGAGGGUAGCGGAAUUCACGGUGUAGCAGUGAAAUGCGUAGAUAUCGUGAGGAACACCAGUGGCGAAGGCGGCGAUCUGGGAAGAUACUGACGCUGAGGUGCGAAAGCGUGGGGAGCAAACAGG
rnacentral:rRNA from 1 species